CCGUCGAGGGGUUGUGGGAAAAGGUGGGGAUCUUCGGACCUAUCACCUGGAGAUGAGCCCGCGUGCCAUUAGGUAGUUGGCGGGGUAAUGGCCCACCAAGCCGAAGAUGGCUAGCUGGUCUGAGAGGAUGAUCAGCCACACUGGAACUGAGACACGGUCCAGACUCCUACGGGAGGCAGCAGUGGGGAAUAUUGCGCAAUGGGGGAAACCCUGACGCAGCAACGCCGCGUGUGUGAUGAAGGCCUUCGGGUCGUAAAGCACUGUGAGGUGGAACGAGCCGCCGGGGGCUAAUACCCUUCGGCCCGACGGUACCACCAGAGGAAGCACCGGCUAACCCUGUGCCAGCAGCCGCGGUAAUACAGGGGGUGCAAGCGUUGUUCGGAAUUAUUGGGCGUAAAGCGCGUGUAGGCGGACCAUUAAGUCUGGUGUGAAAUCCCUCGGCUUAACCGAGGACGUGCAUUGGAUACUGGUGGUCUUGAGUCCUGGAGAGGGUAGCGGAAUUCCCCAGUGUAGAGGUGAAAUUCGUAGAUAUUGGGAGGA
rnacentral:rRNA from 1 species